CAAUCGGUUCUUUUCAGAACCACCAAAUAUUAAAACAAGGAAUCU
rfam:Cerapachys biroi unplaced genomic scaffold scaffold104, whole genome shotgun sequence.